CACUGAAAAGAACAAGCACUGUUUUCCUCACUCACCUCAGCUUCUUGGACAUCUACCCAACAGCAAACAAGAAACUACAUCAACCAAUAUGACCACUGGGAAUCUAGGGAAAAGAUUUAUUUCAUCCAAAAUUUUGGACAAAUGAUGAGUGGUUACUGGCUAGAAUGAAGGAAGGCUCUCUGCCAGAGUGGGGCAAUGGAUCCCAACCUUCAGCAUGCUGAAGAACUGGUGGGAAAGUUCAGUGGAGGAUGGGGAUCUACCUUUUUAACUAAUUUUAAUGCAAGUGAUUCUUGGGGCAGAAUUGGAGAAAUUCUGGGUACAAUUGGCAUGAACAUAAAUGUUCACUGAAGAAAACUUAAUAGUGACAACUAAUAGGUACUGCCUACUUACUGAAUAUCAGGUGCAAUCCUAGAUGAUAUACCAUCUCAGUGAAUCCUCAGAUCAACACCAUGAAGCUGGCACUAUCACACCCCUAUUUGACAGGGGAAGAAAUGGAGGUAUCAUGUUCCAGCAACUUUCCAAAGCUGCAGAGCUGGACGGAGUAGAGCAGGGGCCUGACCCCAAGCCCCUGAAUUGUAACAGAUAGCUUAGUCCUUCCAUUUAUCCAUUUUUGUAACUAAAAUGGAAUCAGGCUGUCAUUUGUCACGUGUUCUUUUCACUUAUCACAUGUGACCUUCUUUGAUGGACAUGGUUGACAGUGUUCUGUGCCCCACCACUAUGGGACAUGUGCUUUCACAGGCAUCCAAUGUUCUCUGAGAUAUCAUAUCUGGGAUGCCAGAUUCUAAACCCCAAAGCCUCAGGAACAUCAGGCUGUAGCAGCUUAAGAUGAGAAGACAGCAAGGUGUGUGGGUUGGUUAAGAGUCUGACUCUUGAUUUCGCCUCAUGUCAUGAUCUCACGGUUAAUGAGAUCAAGCCCCGUGUAGGGCUCUGCACUGACGGCAUAGAGCCUGCCUGCGAUUCUCUCUCCCCCUUCCCUGCUUAUUCCCUCUCUCUCUCUCUCUCUCUCUCUCUCAAAACAAAUAAACAUUAAAAAAAAAAAAAGGACAAGAAGAGAGGCCAUUGAGAGAAGGUUGUCUGGGGUAUGAAGCAGCCACCAGCAGGAAGCAUUAGAAGGUUUUGAGGACCCAGGUCCUCUGAACACAAGAAUUAGCCCUUGGCCGAGAAGAGAACUUUAAUACACUGGAAUAUCUCAAGAACAUAAAAGCAACUGAAUGAUGCAACUUUUUAAAAGUCGGUCUUGGUUCAAAUGACAGAGUCUUCCUGUCCUUUGGUUCAGUUCAAUGAACGCUGAUGGAGGAUGUCUCUUACACAGCAGCUCUUAAAAGACAAAACAAACAAGAUUUGAUCUCCACUCCCGGGAACCUGACAAGUGGGGAGUAAGCCGCAGAAACUGGUAACUUUGAAACUUUAAACUAAGGUGCUGCCGUGAGAACACAAGCAAGACGUUCUAUGGGACCCCAGAGGGCAGACAUCAGGCUCUUAGAAACCAGAGCUGAGUCUUAAAGCAUGAACCAGAGUCAGCAGGUGAGGAGGACAGAAAGAGUGUUCCAGACAGAGGUAACAGCAUGGGUAAAGGGCCAGGCUAUACUCCCAGGAUAUAGAUGAAACCAGUUUUCAUUAAUAUACUCUAUAGUUACCAAGCAUGACUUUUUAAUCAAUCCUUAAUUUGGCCCCAAAGCAAAAAAGUGAUAAGUAUAUAUUCCUUUAACUACUGUUCAAAGAUUGUUUACAGUCAAGCACAAACAUUCUUAAAGGAUAUAAAACAAAAGUUCUAGACACACUUGGUGUCGAUUUUGGAUAAAAAGGAAAUGGAAGAAGAUCUCUGUUAUUGGAAGGACCAUAAAAAUAAUCUGCAUUAAACCACAAAAACAAAUCUAAAACUUAAUUUUUUUUUUUGCAUAUUAAAAAAUAACAUCUCCAAAGCAGUGGAUAGAGGCAUCCCUUACAUUUCUCAGGCACUAACUAUUUUUAGAAUGUGUUCACCCUUGGGGUGCCUGGGUGGCUCAGUUGGUUCAUGGGUUCAUGGUUUCAAGCCCCACAUGGGACUGUGCUGACAGCUCUGAGCCUGGAGCCUGCUUCAGAUUCUGUCUCUCUCUC